CAGAAGGGCUUCUGUCAUUAGGUGGCACACGUAGGGCAUCUCUAUCGCUCUAUGUGAAGAAUCAACAUCAAGAGAUUUCGUAAGCAUAAUUUUUGUUACCUGGGCUGCUAAUGAUCAUUGGUCCUGGGGCCCUA
ensembl:snRNA